GGCUCUCGCGUCGAUGAAGAACGUAGCGAACUGCGAAAAUUAAUGCGACCCGCAACACGUGAGUCAUCGAGUUUUUGAACGCAUAUUGCACCCGACGGGCUCGCCUGUCGGGUCUGCCUAGCUGAGUAUCAGUACGUACCCAAUCGCCAGACAUUGGUUGUCAGUAAUGAUGAUUAGUGUGCCUGACGUAUUGGUGAUCAUCGAGCAUUAUUUAUAAUGUUUGGUGGACUUGAGCGUCUGAUGCCUCGCAUUGGUUGCUUGAAAUGUAUCGGUGCCCGCACAUCAUCCUUUAUUGGGUGUUGUCGAAUCGUUAGCGUUGUAAUCAUCUUCGGAUGUCUUCGCAUAUUAACGACCGACGUCAAACUAUGUAGCGACACUUCUACGCAUAUAUAUUUAUAUAUAUACUCUACAACC
rnacentral:misc_RNA from 1 species